UGGGAUUACAGGUNUGCACAACUUUCCUGC
rnacentral:piRNA from 1 species